GCCCAGCGGCAGAGCUUUAACACCUCAGUGCAAAGAUCCAGUGGCCCCUACUCCUCCUUGAGAUCUUGCAAACCCCGUAGGCGGAGCCAGCCCCAGCUUGCCUAGUCUGCAAAAGCAACCUGCAAAACUGGCGGCCCUGGCAGACCCAAGCUGCGGUACUGCCCGGCACCCUGAAACCCGACUCCCGAACGGCAGCAAACCCAAGGCCAAAAGGAAGUGCAGACUUUGCUGAAGGAGGUUUCACCUCCUACGCCCUCGGCCCUGAGCCCUUGCUCUCAAGUCCCCACCCAGUCCCCGAAAGGGCUACGGGACAAAGGUGGUCGUGCCCAGCGUGUUAGCUCUUGUGACACUCCAAGUCUUUAUCCUUCCGGGACUAUGGGAAUUCCGGAAAAACCAAGGUCACCAUCAAGCCAGAUGGAGGCAGAGGCGAGGUGCUGACAGAUCUGCCUCAAAGGGAUCUAGGUGCAAAGGCUUUUCCACAAGCUGUGACAGUAGGUACCGUGGCUAACCCAACACCAUUCAGGCUCAGCCUCCCUUCCCCUCAACGACUGUCACCUUCACCGGGGAAAGCUUUGCAGCCCCAACUAAGGGCCUAACAGGGGUCUGGCCAUUCCUGGCAUCUUAAAUAGACCUCCAGGAGGUGGAUGGAGGAAUCCCAAGCCUGGGGGAAGGGUGUGUGUCCGGUGUGGAGAUGCCACCCUCUUCUUCGCCAGCGCCCCAACCCAUCCUCAUCUGGUGCAGAAAGGGCACUUACAGGUCUUGGAGGCCAGUGAGGGCCUCGUCCUGGGGGUCCCAUCCCUGGCCAAACGAUGCCCCCAACCAGCAGCGGCGGCAGGAAUUGGGCGGCCGGUCCAGGCCGAGGGUUGCGGGUCGUUGGGGGGGAGGGGAGGACGGUAGCCAAGCCUACUCCAAGUAACCAUCGAAGACAUCGAGCUCCGAGUCGGCAUCGUAGAGGCCCGAACCGGGGUCGGAGAGCACGCCGAGGUCCACGAGCGCCUGGUCCAUGUCCUCGGGCAGGAAGACGAGGCCCACAUUGAGGACAAUGUACUCCAUGAGGAAGGCGUAGUAUAGGAUCAGCACAUUGACGAAAAACAGGCCCACGUAGAACAUAGAGGGCAGCAGCGACGGCGGCACGUAGGGGACCAGGGGGCCCAGCGCGUCCAGGUGGGCCGCGACCCGGGCGCCGGGCAUGCAGGGGGCGGCGAGGGCGGCGGCGGCCCGGCGAUCCCAGCGAUCUCAGCCGCUGCGGCGCCCGGGCGGCCGGCAAGGGGGCAGCUCAGCCAUGCAGGGACGCCCCGGGGGCUCGACCGAGGCGGCGCUGGGCCCCGGCGGUGCCCCCGCCGGUGUGCCGCGGCCUCUGCAGACGCUCCCUGGCCCCUGAAAAGCGCCCGGAGGGGUCCACGCACCCCCAGAUGUGCCCACACGACCCUCUCGAUCCUCCCGGCAGCCAGGGAGGCCCCCCUGAGGUGGCCGGCGGCUGCCCGGCUCCUCCGACGCGCCCCGCUCGCGCUCACUGGCCCUCCAAGAGCAGGCGGGGGCCCCACCGCAGCUCAGCGUCGAGGGCCAGUCCCGGCGGCUGUCUCUUCAGCCCCGCCCGGCAGUUCCUCGCGCCCCCUCCGCGGCCCCGCAGGCCCAGCACCCAUGGCUGCGGCCGCCGCGUCGCCCUCCUGGUCGCGUUCCGAGCACCGCCUCCCAAGCGGCCCCGCGCUCAUUGGCCAGCCGCCCGCUGCCCGCGCUCAUUGGCCUGCUCGACGCCCGCGGUCAUUGGUCCGAGACGUCCGGGGGAGGUACCGCUUCGCUCCGCCCCUCGGGGUGCUGGCCUCUGACUUGCUUUCCUGGUUCCGGGCUCCGCCCAGGUCUCAAAUCCAAUUCGUUCUGAGAAUCCCCCACGGAGUAGCGGGAGGGGAAAGAGACAGAACGCAGUUCGAACCUGCACGUAUCCUAAGGGCUACGAAAGCUGGAGGAAACC
rnacentral:lncRNA from 1 species